rnacentral:rRNA from 1 species
GACGAACGCUGACGGCGUGCUUAACACAUGCAAGUCGAACGGUGAAGCGCCUUCCUUUUUGGUGGGUGUGGAUGAGUGGCGAACGGGUGAGUAACACGUGAGUAACCUGCCCCCUUCUUCUGGAUAACCGCAUGAAAGUGUGGCUAAUACGGGAUAUUCUGGGUCUGUCGCAUGAUGGGUCUGGGAAAGAUAUUGUUUCGGUGGGGGAUGGGCUCGCGGCCUAUCAGCUUGUUGGUGGGGUGAUGGCCUACCAAGGCGGUGACGGGUAGCCGGCCUGAGAGGGUGGACGGUCACACUGGGACUGAGACACGGCCCAGACUCCUACGGGAGGCAGCAGUGGGGAAUAUUGCACAAUGGGCGCAAGCCUGAUGCAGCGACGCCGCGUGAGGGAUGGAGGCCGUCGGGUUGUGAACCUCUUUCGCCAGUGAAGCAGGCCUGCCUCGUUUGUGGGUGGGUUGACGGUAGCUGGAUAAGAAGCGCCGGCUAACUACGU